GAGAAACGCCGGCCCCCGUAAGAUCACUGAAGUAAAGCAAUGUCGAUCCUGGUCUGUACUUAGAUGGGUAACCGCUUGAGAAUAACAGGCGCAGUAA